GCGUGUGCAGUCUCCUCCAAUCACUUUGCUGGAACUGAAACAUGCCUUACCUCAGAGCAGUCAAUUACUAAAGCUACCCGAGAUCAUCAAUCAUGGGGGAAUGCUUCAAGUUAAGGGGGAGGAGCAAUGGUCAAACUAUUGAUCGCUGCAGUUUUGCACUCUCUCUCUCCCUCCCUCCUGCUCUCUCUCUCUCCCCACACAUAAAAUCUAAACCAGACUGUCCUGGUAAUAGUGGGACUUAUCAAUGAUUAUGAAUCUACUUGUGAAUGUUACGUCCUCGUACAUACGUGCCGCGGCGGCGACGGCAGCCCCGCAUUUAGACUGGAUUCCGGCGAGAAAAAGAGAGUGUAGGAGAGGGACUGGAGAGGACCGUUCUUAAGGGCAGGUCACGGGUGUGUGUGUGUGUGGGGGGGGAAGUUAAGGAGGAAAAGCGAAAUCUGCCGAAGGGACGGGAGGGAGGACUCUAAAAACGCAGCCAGUCUUUCCUGGGCUAGGGAGCCAGCUCCCGAGGUCAACGAAGCUCUCCAAAAUGAUGAAUGAUUGAGUACCUGCGAUGAUGAUAGUGAUUACCGGAGCAAUUAAACAGUUUGAUUAAAUGAGCCAUCAUAACAACGCUGUCUGCGGGAUAUCAGCCCUCGCUUAUAAAAAAAAGAUAGAGCAGAGAGAGAGAGAGAGAGAGAGGGAGGGAGAGGCUGAGGAACGCCACUGGGGCAACGGCUUCGCUUCCCGGGAGCGCUUAGCUUGGCAAGCAGCGCAGCUUGAGCUCAGCCCCCCGAACGGGCAGGCGAAAGAGCUGGAAAAGAACUGCCGAGACUUUUAAGCCUGACCUGCGCGCUCGUUUGAAGCGCCGAAGGGGGGGGGUGGGGGUGGGAAGAGAGAAAAAAAAGGGGGGUGUCUGCUUUUGCUUCUCCCUUCUCCGCUUCUCCCUUCCCCGCUUUUCUUUUCUUCUAGAAGACCCCUUCCAAGAUUAAAGCGAUUCUCCGAAGCAGCCGCUACCCUCUGUGGCUGAUUCGCCCGGCUCUGGGCAGAAAGUUUCCUGCACCUGUUAGGAGGCAUACAGAAACUAAAAAGCUCCCUUUCCAGAAGCUGUACUAAUCCCAUAUGCCCCACACAACUACAGAGAGACCACGAAUGCCAGCAAGAACAUUCAUAUAUGUU